GGAAAAAAGUUAUUUAUUCACUAUAGAUAAAGUGUUUCAAACACUGAACAAUAAUGUUCCCUUAAAAGUUCUUGAUGGGUUAACUUAUUCACAAAACACCAUUCAUAACAAACAAUUAUAUGAUAAACUUUACUUGAGUUCUUCUGUUCUAAAAUACUUUAAGGAGAAAUUACGCAUAAAGUUCAACAGAAGAGCUACUGAUUUCCUGUUAUGGGUCCAUCCCGACCUCUCUUGAAAUCAUCCCAACCCCUUACCCAUUGUCGCCCAGGUGGUGUUCU
rnacentral:misc_RNA from 1 species